ACAGCAGUAGCCGCGGUAAUACGAAGGGGGCUAGCGUUGCUCGGAAUGACUGGGCGUAAAGGGCGCGUAGGCGGAUUGUUUAGUUAGGCGUGAAAUUCCUGGGCUUAACCUGGGGACUGCGCUUAAUACAGGCAGUCUAGAGUGAGGAAGAGGGUUGUGGAAUUCCCAGUGUAGAGGUGAAAUUCGUAGAUAUUGGGAAGAACACCAGUGGCGAAGGCGGCUCACUGGACCGACACUGACGCUGAGGCGCGAAAGCGUGGGGAGCAAACAGGAUUAGAUACCCCCGUAGUCCCUGUCUCUUAUAU
rnacentral:rRNA from 1 species